rnacentral:rRNA from 1 species
GGGGGGGGGGGGGGGGGGGGGGGGGGGGGGGGGGGGGGGGGGGGGGGCGCGGCGGGUGUGGGGUGCUCGAGGGGCGAGCGGGUGAGGGGCCCGUGAGUAGCCUGCCCUUGAGUUUGGGGUAACUUCAGGGAACUGGGGCUCGUACCGGAUAGGAGCUCCUGCUGCAUGGUGGGGGUUGUAAAGUUUCGGCGGUUGGGGAUGGACUCGCGGCUUGGCGUCUUGUCGGUGGGGUCGUGGCUUACCAAGGCUUUGACGGGUAGCCGGCCUGAGCGGGUGACCGGACACAUUGGGACUGAGAUACGGCCCAGACUCCUACGGGAGGCAGCAGUGGGGAAUAUUGCACAAUGGGCGGAAGCCUGAUGCAGCAACGCCGCGUGCGGGAUGACGGCCUUCGGGUUGUAAACCGCUUUCGCCUGUGACGAAGCGUGAGUGACGGUAAUGGGUAAAGAAGCACCGGCUAACUACGUG